CUCAAAUUUCUCCUCAGGCAUGAAGGCAAGGAGAUGAACUAGUGCUAGCUACAGCUACACACAGUCCCUGCCAGGGUGACAGGGAGCCUGAAUCUGGCUGGGACACUUCCUGCCAUGUCCUGCAAGUUAAUAAAGGGAUAAGCACAACACAUCACAUCUGGAAAUGGGGCCCUUACACAUGGGAAGGAGUGUGGCCCCUCUGCUGCUUUUAUCAGGACUUCUGCUCCUGGGAAAGGUAGGGAAGGGGAUACCCUGUGUCAUUUGUAAAUGAGACCCUAUGAGAAUUGGAGGGUGGUCAUUAACUAAGGGGGACUGUGUGAAAAAGUUGCCCCUCAAUUAAUCAAUAUCCUAGUUGCAAAUAUAUGUAUUUAUCAUUCUAUCUCUCUAUCUAUCUAUAUAUCUACCUAUCUAGAUAUCUAUUAACAUAUCGAUAUGUCUCUCUACAGAUCUAUCAUUCUCUCUCUCUCUCUCUCAAUAUAUAUAUAUAUAUAUAUAUAUAUGUGUGUGUGUGUAUGUGUGUCAUUGUCAUGUAUAAUGUGCGUUGUAUGUCAGGAGUCUCUCCCCCUCCAGCUAUAAUCCCCAGAUACAUUUAAAACAAGGUCAAUUCAGGGUCUGGGUCAUUACGUACAACUCUGAAUCGUUUUAUAUAUAUAUAUAAUACAUACCUAUAUACUGAAAUGACAGUAUACAUACAUGCAUAGUACUUAUAUAAUAGUAAUUGAUGUUUUAGAUUGUAAGCUCAUUUGGACAGAGCCCUCUUAACCUACCAUUCCCGUAUGUCAAAUGUGUUUUGUUAGAAUUAAUCGUUUUUCUCGUUGCACCUAUUUACUGCGCUGCUGAAUAUGUUGCCGCUAUAUAAAAUUGUGUAUUGUAAUGUAAGCUUUGGAGAUCCAGUUCUAGUGGUCUUUUUUUUCCCCACAAUGCUCAGCCAGUCAGACGGCCGGUGUGCCAGCAUUUGGCCAUCUCUGUUAUACAUACUUAAUAACACAGACAAACAAAGAACAAGACGAACAAUAUACAUAGUUGAAAACACUAACAAACAGUAAAAACAUAUGGAAAACUAAUGAAACCUCGAUGACCGUUCCUUGUUUUAGAAAUUCUUUACAAUUUCUUGGGCAGGAAGCAUAUCGCUUCCAGUCUUUCCCAGCUUCUUGUAGAUGAUUAAAACAGUUUUCCUCACUUUCCGUCUGGGUCUCCUGAUGUAAUCUCACAAGGCAAUAGCUUUAUCACACUUUGCCAUCCAGAAAAAAUAGUUACUAAGUAUCCUGGCUGGAUAUUACCGCUGUCUCUUCCUGAUAGUAAUAAAUAUUUGGACUGCUAAUGCUGUACUUUAUCAUCAGAGGAAGCAACAUUUGGUAGAAGAAAAAAAAUACAGUUAAACACAGAGGAGCAUAUAAAAAAAUGAUAGCUAAAUGGUAGAGUAAGAAUUACAAAGCAUUGUGGGGGAUGUAGUUCUGCAACAUGUGGUUUUUGCCAUUAAUAAUAUAAAACAGGGUGUUGUCAAAUAUUCAAUAAAAUAAUGUAAUUGAAAAGUAUUAGAGCCAUAAAUGUAUGAUGUAUUGAGUUGUCAUCGUUAUUCACAGCUAGAUUGUAUAUGAGCGUCCUGACGGAUAUCCUGUAAGGAUUAAGCUAUAACCUUAAAUAGACUUAAGGACCCUUUCUGAUUUCUUAAUAGUUUGACAGGGAGAAGAAAGACAAUUUGUAAAUGUAAUCUUUUUAUUAUUUAUAAAGCAUCAACAUAUUUUGCGACACUGUAAAAUGGGUAGUAUGGUCAAUAUUAUUGAAUUACCAUUCCCGUCACUCUACACUAACCCGGUGCUUACCGAGGUUUUGUCGAUAUGAAGGUUUUCAAAACCUGAACUAGUAUUUCAGCCAAAGAUUUCACUUUGGAAAUCUGUAACACAAGGUUGUGCUUUUACAGUAGAGUAAAAGGGAAUUCAAGACAGGUGACUUUAUAUGUGUCAGUGCACUAAUUAGAGGCAUUAAAUGCCUAACUUGUUUUUCUUUUGGCCAAUUUGGACUUUGUAUUUUAUACAUUUUUUACUUUUGAACACAAAUGUAUUGAUUGCGGCUUAUUCUGACAAGGUGAUUCACGAACAGCAAUUGUACUGAAUUGACCAGGAAAUAAUUGGAUAUUUUUUUUUUGUCGUUGUACGUUCUGUAAAAUUACAUUUGUCAUAAAGAAAUUCCCAUGGACUAGAGGCAUAUAUGAAAGUAGACCAUCGUUAGACAGUAUUACAAGUUGAUUGCUAAUUCGAUAGAACCCUGCCUGUUCUAUGCUGUGAACGUCACUGUUCAUUCCUAUGUUUGUAUAUAAUUGAACCCAUGGGUUACAAAGACAUAGUUCAGUAGCAGUUAUACAGAUGUUGUGGCACAAUUUGUCACCAUACGUUUGAAAUCCAUUUGAUCUUAUUUUACCGUGUAUCUGUGUUAUGUAUAUCCUAGAUUUGUACAGCCCAUUUUAUUGUUACAGAAUUAGAAAUAUUUUGUAGGGAUUUUUUUUGUGUAGUCAUCAAAUAAACUAAAAUGUAACAAUGUAACUUUUUUAAAAUUUCCAACUAAACUUUGCUUAAAAAUGAUGUUAAUGAACAAGACACAAAUGUGUAUUCUAGUAUUGGCCUAAUAUUAGCCUAAACAUAGUCAAUCAACUAUUGUGAUUUUUAUCUUUAACCAGAUAAUAAACUAGCCUAAACUGACACUUGCAGGGUUGUACACUAAACUCUAAAUAAUGAUUUGGAUUUCAAUUUGCUACAGUUACUAUAUUAGUGAAAAACUUGCAUUAUUAAUGAAAUUGUGCAUUUAAGGAUCUAGUGGUAGAGCAGUUUGGCCAUGCAUUAGAGUGAGUCUGGCACACCCUUACGCAAACUCAUGGUUUGUAAAAAGAACUAAAUUUUGGUUAGCACAGUGGUAAUCUUACUGCCUUAAAAGGAUACUAUAGUCACCAGAACAACUACAGCUUAAUGUAGUUGUUCAGGUGAGUAUUAUAAUUAGAAGAGGCAGUGUUUAUAUUGCCCAUAGGGACACCUCCAAGCGACCACUCCUUAGAUGGCCGCUGGAGAUGCUUCCUGUCUCAUUGCUGCACAGUAGGCAUCUCUGCCGUUCAGCGUCCCCACGCUCUGCAUGGGGACGCUGAAUUUUGAGGAGGUGCUUAUUGGCCAAAACGGCGUUUGGCCCUGUCCCCUGCCAAUUUCAGCCAAUCCAUUGCUUUCACCAUGAGAAAGCAUUGGAUUGGCAAAAAAUUGGCAAUUCUGAUGAUGUCACCAAGGGUGCAGGGCCAGUGCCAGCAAAGCUUUUCAUGCUUUUAAGAUGGGUAAGGGGGUGGGGGGGCAAACCACCUUAAUGGUGGGUUUUGCACUACAGGGUCAGGAAUACACGUUUGUGUUCCUUUAAAGACUGGAAAAGCCCAGUCUUCCCAGACAAUCCCAGACCUUACCAGUAAGUGUUCUUAUGUUAUAUAUCCACCUCCCUCAAAUCAUCAUAGAGGUGACACUAGUAUAAGUAAUGCUUUGUCACCUGCAAAUAUCCCUGUUCUAUAAUUGUUAAAGGUAAACUAUGGGGCCAGGAAAACAAAUUUGUUUUCCUGGCAUUAUAGCCCCCCCCUAUCUUGCACUCCUACCCCCCUCCCUGGUGCAUAACCCCUUCUGUCACUUACCUGGGUGACAUGAAGAUUUCCCCAUAGGAAAGCAUUAUACAAAUUUGGGGACACUGGACGGCCCCAUGCAUAGAGUGAGGACGUCCAGCAUCAGUUAGGUGACCAAAAGGGACCUGGGACAGUGCACUCAAACACUUCAAUGAGCUGAAGUAGUCUGGGUUUCUAUAGUGUCCCUUUAAGCGCUGAUGCAAGUGCUAUAUAAUUGCUAAUAAUAAAUAGACUUCAUGCACUCACAACUGAGACUGCUUAUUCUCAUUUUCAAUUCUUAUAUUUUUAUUAAUAUUUAAUAUACUUUUUUCUCAUGCAUCACAGAUCAUCCCGGAUACAGUGUGGGGGAUGAGACUAUAGUGCAAAACUGAGAUGGAGUUUUAUAAAAGUGUUGUGUUCUAAAAGUGGUGCAAUCGCCAUGGAAACCAAUAGAAAUAAGCAAAGCAUUCCCUUUUUGCAACUCUGUUCUGCCUUUCAGAUCAUAUAUUUUCUGAGUGAAUUUGCACUUUUUCUUAUAAUAUUCUUUAAAGCCAAUUCAAUCAAUUUUGUACUUGGUGCAGCUGGAGCACUGCUAUAUCUGCUAUUUUUAGCAGAAAUGUUGUUUUACAGGAACUUUAACACAUAACCCCAAGGUUAUUUCUGUGUAUCCUGUAUGUUGCUAUGUGCUUGAAAUCCAGUGUGAAAGUAUGAAUUACGUAGCGUAUAGGGCGGCCACCACAGGUAAAAUCUCUCUCAAACCCUGUUUGUCACAUUCAUCAUCUCUGCAUAUCAGAUAUAUCUCUGCAUGAGACACCUUGCUGUUGUCACUGUCUGAGAAGCUAAAUCUUACCUGUCAAUCAGGUGUAUUUUGUCCCCCUUUUUUUAAACAGCAGCUUAUAUUAAGUACCUCUCUUGCAGUGUUAAUAUUGGCCGCAAAUUUCAAUUUAGUUUUAGUCAUAGUCUUUUGACUAAAAGGCCAUUUUAGUUUUAGUUGUGUUUUAAUCAUCUUAAUUGUUUUAGAUAAAGUCUAGUUUUAUUCGACUAAAUCUCCAGUAGAUUUUAGUCGACAUUUCUUAAAUCUAUUGGGUUAAGGUAAAGCCUCUAUCUGUCUCUUUUGCCCCUUCCUCAGCCCCUCUGUGUCACUUUGCGUCCUACCAGCCCCUCUAGGUGUCUCUCUCCCAAGCCCUGAUCUGUCUCUUUUGCCCCUUCCCCAGCCCCUUUGUGUCACUUUGUGUCCUCCCAGCCCCUCUAUGUGUCUCUCUCCCAAGCCCUGAUCUGUCUCUUUUGCCCCUUCCCCAGCCCCUUUGUGUCACUUUGUGUCCUCCCAGCCCCUCUAGGUGUCUCUCUCCCAAGCCCUGAUCUGUCUCUUUUGCCCCUUCCCCAGCCCCUCUGUGUCACUUUGCGUCCUACCAGCCCCUCUAGGUGUCUCUCUCCCAAGCCCUGGUCUGUCUCUUUUGCCCUUUCCACAGCCCCUCUGUGCAGUCUUAAUUUUGGCAGCAAAUUUCAAUUUAGUUUUAGUCAUAGUCUUUUGACUAAAAUGCCAUUUUUAGUUUUAGUCAUAUUUUAGUCAUCUGGAUUGUUUCAGUUUUAGUUUAGUUCUAGUCAACUAAAUCUAAAAAAUGUUAGUCUACUAAAAUUGUUAGUCGACAAAAUGAACGCUGCUGUCUCGCCAAUUGAGAGAGAAGCAAUCCAAAUAUUUCAGAAACGUUUGGUAAAUUUAUAGUACACCCAUCUUUCAUAUGGUGCUCGGCACAUCUACCAAUAUAUUUGUAGACUUACCAAAAUGUGCCACGUGCUACAUGAAAUGUUAAAGAGUUGCCCCUGCUCACUUGAGUGGUUAUGAUACCAAGAGUACCCUGGUUUUUAUACCGGUAAUGGGGCAAACCAUUUUGUAGUUAUUUGCCCUCUUGCCUGGGUCCUAUUGGACUCCUGCUCUUCUUUGAAGUCGGGUUUACAUGUCGAUCCUGCCUCUCAUUGAUUGGCUGAGAGCACCACCUGACCUCUCAGCAAUCAUUGAUUGACUGUGCAACAAUUGCACAGAAUUGACACUAUCCAGAAAGGAACAAUUGCUUUGGGCUGGCUAGUGAGGCUCCAAAGAUGCUGCCAGAAAUAAAGUUGCCCUUCUGGUAGCGGAGGGGUUAAUCUCCAUAUGUGCAGCAUUUUAAAGUGAAACUCUGCACAAACAGACUCCAGACACCAUGACCACUUCAAAUCACUGAAGAGGUUGUGAUGCCUGGAAUAAAGGCAAACUAUGGAUACUUCUGAUAACCAAUCAUAAAUAAAUGCAAAAAUUAUUUAAAUAAACCAUCAUCAUUAAAAAGGGUUAAUAAUAAAGUCACCAUACAAGUCAUUGGGGUUUAUUCGCUAAGCACAGAGUUGUAGUGAAUUGAAAACAAAUUUGCUAAAUGUAGGCUAGUUUUGACUAUAGCUGAGUUCGAGAUUUUUUUUCGAUAUCAGCAGGUUUUGACAAAAUUCUGCAAUUCAGUUUUCAAUUCACUUAAUUUUGCUGUUUAAUGAAUAAACACUCAAGUUUAAUACAUCAUUAAUGGAUCAAAACAUAUUGUAGAUUUAUAUUCUUAUUAUAGGAACUUAAAAUGCACCUGUAUCAGGUGAGUGUUCACAGAUUGCUCUGUUUUGCAAUAAGCCAGUUGAUUGGCAAGCCACUGAGCAGUUAAUAACCCAAUUCUCAUGUACAAUGUAUUUUUAACCCUGUAUGACAUUAGAACAUUGUGCCAUUGUUACAGCUAUAGUAGUGAAAAUAGCUUUAAAGAGCACCUGUCUUAUAUUAACCACUUAAGGAAACAUGACAAUGAUGUUCCAUAAUGCUAGCCUUUUACUUAAGGGGUAAAACAACUUUGUCAGAUUUUAGGUUCUUUGUAUAGGCCGCAUCCCUAUUAGUUGUGAGAUGGCUAGGGGUGAGACAAAGUGAAUUAUAUUUACUUGAAGCUCUCCAUUGCGGACAUGGCAAUCUUCCAUCAUUAGCUUCUGGGGCUAAAUUCGCCAGGAGACCACUUCACUGCUGUACCUUCACAUGUGCACAAGAGUACAACACAUAGGUUUGUUGGGUGUCACAAGUCCCAUAGACCAACUGGCAUGAGAUACGAGAAGAUUUAGGAUCUUACAGCCUUCUCUAGUGACAGCAGUGAAAACUGACAAAACGUGACGGCAAAAGCUCCACCAUUUGUCAAGGUUUGACAGCAUCAAGCUUUACUACAAGGCAAAGUGCACCAUAGUUUGUCGUAUGAUAUCUUUUGACGGCAUUGUAAUUUCCAUGAAUUUCCAAAUCAGAUGAUAUCUUUGUGAAAUAUUUAGAAAAUGUAUUGUGGUGAAAGUGCGUUUAACCCCUUAAGGACCAAACUUCUGGAAUAAAAGGGAAUCAUGACAUGUCACACGUCAUGUGUCCUUAAGGGGUUAAAGAUUGUGCAGCAGGGGUGUGUGCUUGAACUUGACUUUGCUGAGCAUUUCACCCAAGUAAAUGCUUUAAUAAUAGUUACCGAGAUGAACUAUAAUAACGUGAAAGGUGACAGGUCCUGUUUAAUGGGUGCAGAAUUAUUUUUUACGGUUUGCCUGGCAUGAUGAAGUAAGGACAAGUACUGUGUAUGUUAAAGAAAUCACUAAAGUGUGGAUUGUCAGAAAUUCAAAAUCGUUGACCAAAGUAAUCAAAAUUUUAGCCAAAGAUUUAGAAGACACUUUGAGAUCUCUUGCAGACAGUGCACACCUGAAUAAACCUUUAUUUGUUCGUAACGUGCAGGUAACAUAAGUGUAUAUCUAAGGAGACCUAUGCUAAGCAGAGGUUUAUAGAAUAUACUCAGCAUUCCAGUGAGAACAAUUGGAGGUCAAGGAUUGGCUGAGAAUCAGCAGCCAUUUCCUAGUCUUCAAAGAAAUUAGGAUUAUAGUAAAGAGAACUUUAGAAAUAACCUUUUAAAAUGUUUUUCUGUUUAAUUUAUAUAUUUAGCAUCUUUGCAUUUUUGGCCACUGACCAAGAUUUGAAUAUUUAAUUAUUAUUUUUUUUAUCCUGUUGCCGCAGAUUCUGGUUCUGAUCGUCUCCUUUAGGAGAAUUGGGUUAGCUCUGUGGAGCUGAGCAAUAUCACUUAAGCAUACUCACCCAAUGAGAGGGCCUUGCUUUACUCUGGAGAAAAGUGGCUGUAGUGGUUAUGGUACUUGGAGUGCUCCUUUAACUGUAACAUACAUGCUAUUCCAGAAGAAAGUCUAGAUACUAAGGCAUUAUUAGAAAAUGUAAUAAGUUACAUCUUUCCAUUUUUACCAUGAAUUAUGUGAUCAAAAACAGGAAGCUUUCAGUAAAAAAAAGGAAGUUAUCAGUAAAUGUCUUGCUUUACAGUUCUCAAGUAAGUUUGUUUACCGGUAGUUCAUUCGCUGACUACAGGAAUAGGUAACAUAUUUGAACUUCAAAUUAUGAGGCUGUAAUUAGUAUUUUUUUUCCAUCUAUGCACUACUUAAUAUACACUUAAUAUAUUAUUAAACAUUUAAUUGAUAAGAUCAACAAAGGACUAGCACCUUAAAAUCUGAUUAUUAGGAACAUCAUAACAUUGCAUUUCUUAAAUGUUUUCAGGAAUCUGUUACAAAGUGGAUAGUUACAAAAUUUAAAAAAAAAAGAGCAAACACACAGAAAAGAGUGAAAUGAAAACAAGUCAAAAAAUGUUUAGAAUGUCUGAGCGAUCAAAAAAUAUCAAAAUUAUUAAAAAGAGCUAUCGAUGAAAUAAAAUGAAAAAGUAAAACGAUAAAUACACAAAAUAUUGAACUCAGCAGAACAAAUAGUUAAUAAAAAGUAAUAUAUUUGGUAGUUUUUACAGAUAACAUUGUAAAUAAAUAUCCUUGCUGCAUUUAGUAUUAUUUGCUUCCUUUCAUCUUAUUUACUUGCUUUAUAGAACUUUAAACUCCCAAAUAUGGACAAGCCUGCAUUGUCCGUGUUAAUGGGAACUAGUUGGUAACUCAGUUUUGGAUCAAUGGAUGUGACUGCAUUGAAGUGCCACCUGCACACAUUCUCAUGCUUUCCUUUCAGCAUAUGAGGCUGAUUCCAGAACAGAGAAAUACCAUCACGCAGCUAUCUGCGAUAGCUGUUACACUCUAAGCUGGAAUUUCCACUAUUUGCUGUAAAUUGUCGGGCUUUACAGCCUCUGCAGUGAGCACUCACCAAACCAGAAAGUGGCUCAACCAAUCAUGCUCCAUUACUCUUGGUAGUACUGUCAGACUUAUUCAAGUCUAUUCAAAUGAUUUCUGGGGUCAGCAAGGUGUGUCUGAGGAUUGUAAUUCAGAUGUUAGCAAGCUAAAAUGCAAAUUGCCCCAUGCAAAACUAUUUAAAAAUUAUAAAAUGUUAUGACAAAAACUGGAGAGAAAGCGCCCAAAGACUGUUUGCCCCAAAACCACGACAAUGAGCAGUAUUGUUUAUUGUGCUUGUAGCACCCCCUUAACAUGUGUAGCUGCGUAGAAUUUCCAUUUAAGUAACAUUGUUACCCAUUUCCAUUUAAGCUAUGCACUAAGUAAAAAACGUGUGAUAUAUAGGUUCUUUGCGUAAGCGUUGUUUACUAAUUAAGCAAACAAACAAAUUUAUUACUUUAGUGUCACAUACAGCAGCAUGUGCAGAGUAUUGUAGUUUAUGGAGCUGGACCCACGUAUAAAUGAUGCAGCAGAUGAUGUCCACUUUCUGAAAUAUAAGCAAUUAUAUAUAUUACACAUUAAAAUGAAUCCAACUAAAUAAAAAGUAAAUAACUGCUCAUUGUCUGCAAAUUCAAUAUGAGCCAUGGAAUAGCUGUAUGCAUACGGUUCUACAUAGACAACUCAAAAUAACAGAUAUAAGAAAGUAGGGACAUAUCAGAACCCAUAGAUCCUCGACUUCUUUUUUUUCUUCUUCAGAAGUGUAACUAUCAAAAAAAAGGAUCUUAACACAUAUAGCUUGGAGGAAAGACGAGACGGGGGGAUGUGAUAAAAGCAUUUAAAUACAUAAAGGGAAUCAACACUGUAAAGGAGGAGACUAUAUUUAAAAGAAGAAAAACUUCCACAACAAGAGGACAUAGUCUUAAAUUAGAGGGGCAAAGGUUUAAAAAUAAUAUCAGGAAGUAUUACUUUACUGAGAAGGUAGUGGAUGCAUGGAAUAGCCUUCCAGUUGAAGUGGUAGAGGUUAACACAGUGAAGGAGUUUAAGCAUGCGUGGGAUAAGCAUAAGGCUUUCCUAGAUAUAAGAAAAUGCCAAGGACUAAUGAAAGUAUUUAGAAAAUUGGGCAGACUAGAUGGGCCGAAUGGUUCUUAUCUGCCGUCACAUUCUAUGUUUCUAUGUAAAUGCCAUAUUUCUGUAAAUUAAAAAUCAAACUAGCACAGUUAAGCAAUGAUAGCAUAUCCUGACCAAUUAUCUAACUUAGAUAUAAGCACAGCUGUAUUUUUGCAUAGUUUUUACAAUUAGUUUUUUAGUUCAUACAAUUCAGUGAUUAGUGAACAAAUCCAAUGUACUAAAUGCACGGAAUGAUCACCAAUUUAUUAUAAAGUUCACCCUUCUGCCAUACUAACAGGGUUAUUUAUUAAAAUGAGAAUUCACAGUGAAUUUCAAGUUUAAGGUCACCAUAGCAAAACUGGAUAAAAAAUCUCUAAAUCAGCUGUUCCUUCAGUUUGGCUAGUCUGGCCUAAAAUUUGAAAUUCAAUCAAUUUCACUUAUAAUUGCAACUUUAUUAAAUUCACCCAUAUGAAUUAAAUUAUUAUUUGUUCCUUUGUAUUUGUCUUGUGUCAAUGUCAAAAUGUGUGACAAAGUAAAUAUAAGUAAAAAUAAUUAUCUAUGUAUAUAAUAAAUAAAAGAACCUUUGUAUUUGUUAAAUGUGUGGUUAGCGUGGAAGGGUAACUUCCAUGAUAAAAAUUAUUUUAAUCUAAUGUCUCAAUUUCUACAAUUAUAGCUGGUAAUUUGGCGCUAAUUUACAGUUUAUUAUUAGAGAUGAUUAGGGUGUUUUCUUGCGUUUUUGUGUUUGGUUGUUUUGGAGAAAAAUGUGAAUGUUUCAUUUCCAAACCAAUUGUGACAAUAAUUAUUUAACAUCGUAAGUGAAGAACGAAAUAGGAAGACUGCAAAAAAAGUAUUUUUUUACAUGGUAAUCGGAAAUUAUGAAUGUUCAUACAAUAUAUCGAGUCUAGUAUUGAGAUCGAAAAUUUGUUUUAAAAGGAUAGUUAAAAAAAUAAAAUAAAACCAUUUUCCCUUACCGAAUGGGUAAAUAGUGCCCCUCUGGUGUAACGGCAAUACUUGUUCGUGACUUGACUGUAACAGUUCCACCUCUCUUCCUCUUUUACACCUAUUUUUGUCACAAUAGCUGUAUUGUUUUAAGGUAAACUAUUUACGAAACUAAAUAGAAGCUCUUGAAUUCGCAUUGUAUAAAUAGACGUUUAUUGUAAUCCCAAACUUUCUGUGUUCAUGAGGGACCUGAUGCAAGGUUGCAGUCUUUCUCAAAAGACUUCAUGUUGUAACAUCAGACAUAAUACAUGUUGCCAUCUUGAUAUUGGUCUCAGUCCUUUUUGGUCAGUUUGUCUGUUAUUUAUUAAUUGUGUGUUUUCAGGGACUGACUCAUACAAAGGCUUGGAUUUUAUUAGCAGGGAGAAGAUUACAUCUGUCUAGCAAGUUAGAUUUCAGUUAGAGGAAUUGCUUUUCGAUAACACGCGUUAAAUAGUCGUUGGCAUUAGCCAUUGACAAAACAGAAAUACAUUUAACAUUAACCCCUUAAGGACACAUGACAUGUGUGACAUGUCAUGAUUCCCUUUUAUUCCAGAAAUUUGGUCCUUAAGGGGUUAAGAACCAUCAAACAUAACUCUGUAUGAGCAACCAAUGAAAAUGUAGAGGUGAUUGACAGAUAUUCAAACUGGAGAACCAGUGCAUACAGUAGCACCAAUAUCACAUUAUAGAAAAGUUAAACCACUUUCUACUGUUGUUAUAUAAAGGUGCUUGUUAAAUCAAUAUAUUAGUUUUCCUCAAUGCGUAACUACCUUCAAGCAGACACUCUCUAAAUGAGCUCAGAUCACAUCCUGUUAUAAAAAGGGAGCUGUCACUGCUCAGUACGUAUACUAUUAUUCUUAUGUAUCCCUUCACUUAACAAAUAUGUGUUUUGUGAGGUCUGAAUAAUACAAUUAUAUCUAGAAAUUCACACCUCUUGAUCCUGCAACUGGGCGCCUCCAUCUUGACUUCCUGUCGAUCAUUGUUAUAAGCUCUGUCCUUAACAACUGGCAGUCAGCUUACAGAAAGCAUACAUAGAUGAGAAUAAGCCAACACAUAUAAUACACAUGGGCUACAGCUGCUAAACUUAAAAUUAUUAUUAUUAUUAUUAUUAUUAUUAUUAUUAUUAUGAUAUUUAUAUACAGUUUCAAGAAAAAGUAUGUGAACCCUUUGGAAUGAUAUGGAUGUCUGCACAAAUUGGUCAUAAAAUGUGAUCUGAUCAUCAUCUAAGUCACAACAUUAGACAAUCACAGUCUGCUUAAACUAAUAACACACAAAGAAUGAAAUGUUGCCAUGUUUUUAUUGAACACACCAUGUAAACAUUCAUAGUGCAGGUGGAAAAAGUAUGUGAACUCUUGGAUUUAAUAACUGGUUGAACCUCCUUUGGCAGCAAUAACUUCAACCAAACGUUUCCUGCAGUUGCAGAUCAGACGUGCACAACGGUCAGGAGUAAUUUUUGACCAUUCCUCUUUACAGAACUGUUUCAGUUCAGCAAUAUUCUUGGGAUGUCUGGUGUGAAUCGCUUUCUUGAGGUCAUGCCACAGCAUCUCAAUCGGGUUGAGGUCAGGACUCUGACUGGGCCACUUCAGAAGGCGUAUUUUCUUCUGUUUAACCCCUUAAGGACCAAACUUCUGGAAUAAAAGGGAAUCAUGACAUGUCACACAUGUCAUGUGUCCUUAAGGGGUUAACCCCGUAAGGAUAUGUGUGACAUGUCAUGAUUCCCUUUUAUUCCAGAAGUUUGGUCCUUAAGGGGUUAAGCCAUUCUGUUGUUGAUUUACUUCUAUGCUUUGGGUCAUUGUCCUGUUGCAACACCCAUCUUCUGUUGAGCUUUAGCUGGUAGACAGAUGGCCUUAGGUUCUCCUGCAAAAUGUCUUGAUAAACUUGGGAAUUCAUUUUUCCUUCGAUGAUAGCAAUCCGUCCAGGCCCUGACGCAGCAAAGCAGCCCCAAAGCAUGAUGCCCCCACCACCAUACUUCACAGUUGGGAUGAGGUUUUGAUGUUGGUGUGCGGUGCCUUUUUUUCGCCCCACAUAGUGUUGUGUGUUUCUUCCAAACAACUCAACUUUGGUUUCAUCUGUCCACAGAAUAUUUUGCCAGUACUGCUGUGGAACAUCCAGGUGCUCUUGUGCAAACUGUAAAAGUGCAGCAAUGUUUUGUUUGGACAGCAGUGGCUUCCUCUGUGGUAUCCUCCCAUGAAAUCCAUUCUUGUUUAGUGUUUUACGUAUUUUAGAUUCGCUAACAGGGAUGUUAGCAUUUGCCAGUGACUUUUGUAAGUCUUUAGCUGACACUCUAGGAUUCUUCUUCACCUCAUUGAGCAGUCUGCCCUGAGCUUUUGCAGUCAUCUUUACAGGACGGCCACUCCUAGGGAGAGUAGCAGCAGUGCUGAGCUUUCUCCAUUUAUAGACAAUUUGUCUUACCGUGGACUGAUGAACAGCAAGGCUUUUGGAGAUACUUUUAUAACCCUUUACAGCUUUAUGCAAGUCAACAAUUCUUAAUCGUAGGUCUUCUGAGAGCUCUUUUGUGCGAGGCAUCAUUCACAUCAGGCAAUGCUUCUUGUGAAAAGCAAACCCAGAACUGGUGUGUGUUUUUUAUAGGGCAGGGCAGCUGUAACCAACACCUCCAAUCUCAUCUCAUUGAUUGGACUCCAGUUGGCUGACAUCUCACUCCAAUUAGCUCUUGGAGAUGUCAUUAGUCUAGGGGUUCACAUACUUUUUCCACCUGCACUGUGAAUGUUUACAUGGUGUGUUCAAUAAAAACAUGGCAGCAUUUCAUUCUUUGUGUGUUAUUAGUUUAAGCAGACUGUGAUUGUCUAUUGUUGUGACUUAGAUGAUGAUCAGAUCACAUUUUAUGACCAAUUUGUGCAGGAAUCCAUAUAAUUCCAAAGGGUUCACAUACUUUUUCUUGCAACUGUUGCGCCAUCAAAUUCUGCAGCGCUUUACAAUGGGUGGACGAACAGACAUGUAGUUGUAACCAGACAAGUUGGACACACAGGAACAGAGGGGUUGAGGGCCCUGCUCAAUGAGCUUACAUACUGUUGGGAAUGGGGUAAAAUGACACAAAAAGGUAAGGAUAGUAUUAGACUAGUGACAGUUGCAGAAGAGGAAUCAGUCAGGAGCUAUUAACAGUUUAAUUGAUACGCUUUUAUGAAGAAGUGGGUUUUUAAUGAUUUUUUGAAGGAGUGGAGAAUAAAAACAGAACAUAGCAUAAUACAGUUGAUGGAUAUAUAAUAAUCCCUGCUAAAGAUUGCACUCACAGGAUUUUGGAGUUAAAUGCACUCCCCUGGUGUUUUGGGGGGCUAGUGUCUCCCUCUUAGGAUCAGGUAUCACCCAAUAUCAGGAACCAUGCAGGACUCCGACAGGUAGAUGAGUAGAAAAGAGGUUUAUUGGUGACAACUUUAAAAUAGCAAAUAAAAAUACAUUUUGGUCUUACGCAUUUCGCCCUCUAAUGGGACUUCCUCAGAGACCAAUAUUCAAUAAAAACAAUCACAACAAUGAAGGCUGCAAAUUUGUUCCACACAUGAGUAAUAGCCUUCUAUUGCUUUCCUAUGGGAAAUCAUUGGAUUGGCUGAGAUCAUCAGCAUUUGGCUCAAAACCACGCUUAUCUUGUGUUUAAAUAAUGCAAAUAUGGCUUGCUAUUUUUGAGAGACCAUGAUGGUAAAGUAGAUUGCACGGCUGCAUUCAAAUUGCUGAAUGUGAAUUGUAUACAACCCUCAUUAAAAGUGUAAUAUGAUGUCUAAAUCCAUAAAAUAGGAAGAGAGUUUAGAAAAGAGAAUCUUCUAUUGAAAUCAUUUUACUGAGCAUGUUUUUACAGGUGAACCGAGUUUACCUGUUGAGCUACACAAGUACACCUGCACUCAGGUAAAAACUUCCAUUAAAAGGUAGGUUGUUUUCUGAGGAACAAGAUUAGAAGCUCAUCCAUAUGCAGAUCUGUGACUGCGAACACCUGCAUUGCUGACCAGCUUUCACAUACGGGUGUGUUUGCUGGUGGACAAGGAAUGAAAGUUCAAAAGGUGCGACUGAUUACACUGUGUGUGAAUCUGAUAUCUUCCAAAGAAUGACCUUCACAAAUAGUGUAAACAUUCCAUAGUAGAGCUUUCUUGCUCUACUGCCUGUGCAGAAUCAGGGUUUUUAGUACAGUUGGAACAAGAGUGAUGUCUAGUUAGUGAAUAAAACAGUAAGCCUAUUGUCCGGUCACAGAACAAGGCUUUUUAAAAUGUUAAAAAAUCAUCAAUCAAAUUAAUGGAAAAAAAAAAAGCUCAUGUUUUUGCUAACAGCUAGAAAAAUGGGUUUUGAUUUGAAGGGAACGUUAGAUUUUAUGUAUCAUUAUUUAGGAAUGGAAAUCCCUGUUUUGGACCCAAAUACUUGAGUUCCUGCUUUUAUUUGUACUGUCCCUCUGUCAUAGGAGCAUCAUAUUUCUGUGGUUUCUGAGUGUAUAACAGAGUUUUGCACCCAUAAAACUCACAGUAACAUGUUUUUUAACUGCAAAAUAAAUGCUUAAAGGACCACUAUAGGCACCCAGACCACUUCAGCUUAAUGAAGUGGUCUGGGUGCCAGGUCCAGCUAGGUUUAACCCUUUUUGCUGUAAACAUAGCAGUUUCAGAGAAACUGCUAUGUUUACUUUAGGGUUAAGCCAGCCUCUAGUGGCUGUCUCAUUGACAGCUGCUAGAGGCGCUUCCGCACUUCUCACUGUGAUUGAGAAUGCUUUCCUAUGAGACUAGCUGAAUGCGCGCGCGGCUCUUGCCGCACAUGCGCAUUCAGCCGAUGAAGGAAGAAGAGGGAGGAGAGUCCCAGUGCCGAGGGAGCCCAGCGCUGGAAAAAAGCUAAGGGAUUAACCCCUUCUUCCCCUUAGAGCCUUGCGGGAUGGAGGCCAUGAGGGUGGGGGCACCCUCAGGGCACUAUAGUGCCAGGAAAACGAGUAUGUUUUCCUGGCACUAUAGUGGUCCUUUAAGAUGUUUCUGUGUAAUUAAGAUACUUGGCUCUAAAUUACAUUACAGUUACAUAAUUUGUCAUCAGCAGGUCAUGAAAUCACUUAAAAUGUCCCGAGAAAUGUACCCCUGACCACUCUUCCAGCCACAACUCGACAAUGAAAGCAACUCUCCCUAGUUAUUUGGAAUGAUGGGAGAUCUGAUACACUAUCCCUGUCUAAAUUACUAUUUUCAAUAUGACAAAUGGAUGGUUACAUAAAUAAACUUACCAUGUGGAUGUCUCCCAAGAAGUUUUGACGAAUCUGGGCAUCAUGUUGAUGUUAUAUAUAUGUUUUGUCAGAACAGUUUCCCUUUUGAGGUUUUUGCUAGGCAGUAAUUGACUGUUGUUGUUUUUUGUUGUGCAACAUAAAUAUUUAUACAACACAAUAGGUAAUGGGAAUAAGAUCAGUACAAUAAAAAAAGAAAUACAUUGCAAAUAAAAAAUAAAAAUAAAAUAAAGGAGAGAAUGAUACAUUGCACUUCUGAUUGAAAAUAAACAAAACGGGAAAGACAUGGGCUAAGGCAGAUGGUAAAGCAAAAAAGGAAAAGGAUGGAGGAAAGAGAUAGGUACAAAAGAGGUAGCACCAAUAGGCAAACUAUUAGAAUCAAAGUAUUCUCCAGAGGAUUUUUAGUUAUCAUUAUUAUUAUUUCAUAUACAAACACAAAUACCAGCAAAGUUUAUUGAAUGUGUAGAAGCCCUAUAAAGGGUUAAAUGUUAAAGGGUUUAUAAAACACCCCUUUCUGUCUCACUUUGUCUGAUAUCAGCAAAGUUUAUUGUAUGUGCAGAAGCCCUAUAAAGGGUUAAAUGUUAAAGGGUUUAUAAAAUACCCCUUCCUGUCUCAUUGGAGACUCAUGGCUGAUAUCGGCAUAUCUAAUGGCUAGUGUAGGAACUCACCUAUUGAGGCUUGCCUUGACGUGGCAGGUGAGCUUACAUAUUCAAAUGGCCAUUAGAAUAAACCCAAAGAGCCUCCAUUUUUGUUUAAACGCACAUGGGGAUUUAGGCCAGAGCGCAGGUAACGUUUUCUUUGUUUUUAUUAUUAUUUCAUAUUGACAGCAUUUUCCCCAGUUCUGUACAACUUUUGAUAAACAAAAAUAACUUCUUCAUAUCUGAAAAAAUUAAAUAAAAAUAAUCCUUUAUAUGUUGAUAAAAAUUUAAGUUGCAUUACAGUACAUUUCUGGGUUUAGUAGCAAUGCAAUUUAACACUUUUAUACAUUUUCUUUUAGAGCCGUGGUUCUAAACUCAGUCCUCAGGUAACCCCCAAAACAGUGCAGGAUUUACUCAAUUGUGUCUAAGGUGUUUUUGGAAAAAAAACAAAAAACACUUUAGACACAACAGGGUAAUCCCUAAAUCCUGGACUGGUAGGGGUACUUGAGAACUGGGUUGGGAACCACUGUCUUAGAGGAACAUUAGUAAUAUAAACAGUGUGGAGACACUGAACUUUGGUCCUGCAAAAACCGACCAAGAAAGUUCCUCUAGCGGCUGUCCAAAUGACAGUCACUAGAGGUGGCAUUAGGCAGUAAUGUUUUCCCUGUGAAAAUCACAGUGAGAAGACGCCAGCGUCCAUAGGAAAGCAUUGUGAAUGCUUUCCUAUGGACUGGCUGAAUGCGCGCGCUCUUGCCGCGGAGGAGGCGGAGAGCUCCCCGUCCGGCGCUGGAGAAAGAGGUAAGUUUAACCCCUUCCUCACCCUAGAGCCCGGCAGGAGGGGGACUCUGAGGGUGGGGGCACCCCCAGGGCACUAUAGUGCCAGGAAAACAAGUAUGUUUUCCUGGCACUAUAGUGGUCCUUUAAUGUCUAAAUUGAUUUCCUUAGUUUUUAUCUAAAAAUGUUUUGUUUUUUUAAUGAUUAUUUAACAUUGCUGACUUCUAGAUGAAGGAAACUACUAUUCACUCUUGACAAAUUAAUGUUUUCCUUGUGAUUAAAUGUAUUUAAUUAGAAGGAAGUUAAAAAAAAAAAUACUAAAAUGCCACAGCCUAGAUUUUGACAUGUUUUUCUUAUUUCCCUCCUAGUUUUGCUGUACUAACUUCCUGAGGAGAUUUGAAUUUAGAUUAGUGUUUUCUGAAAUUCCCUUGUAACCAUCCUGUUUCCCAAUAAAAGGACCUUCUAAAGGUCUAAUCACUAUGUACAAUGAGGGAGUGGGGACUUCUGGCACCAUAAGCACUACAGUGCACUGUCGUAGCUAUGCUGCUUGGAGUGCUGCUUUAAACCACAUACUUAGCAAUAUGCUCUUAUUGCUGGUUACUGAUGCCUGAAGCAUCCUAUAUACCUAUUUAAAUUAAUUUAAGGUUGUUUUUUUAAAAAAAACCAAAUGCCAUUACCGCAAAGUCAAUACAGUGCACUCCACUAAUAUUGGCACCCUUGGUUAAUAUGAGCUGUGAAAGCUGUAAAACAUGUCUUUAUUGUGUAACCUUUUGAUCUUUUGUUCAAAAAUGCACAUAAAUAUCAGGAAGUAUUACUUUACUGAGAGGGUAGUGGAUGCAUGGAAUUGCCUUCCAGCUGAAGUGGUAGAGGUUAACACAUUGAGGGAGUUUAAGCAUGCGUGGGAUAGGCAUAAGGCUAUCCUAACUAUAAGAUAAGGCCAGGGACUAAUGAAAGUAUUUAGGAAAUUGGGCAGACUAGAUGGGCCAAAUGGCUCUUAUCUGCCGUCACAUUCUAUGUUUCUACAAAUACUCUCCUCUCAUGUAUCAAACAAUUGAGAAACCAACACAGGUUUAUAAAAAAAAUGGAUAAAUAAAUAUAUCUGGCACAAUUAUUGGCACCCUAUUAGUCACUACUUUGUUUUACCUCCCUUUGCAAAGAUAACAGCUCUGAAUCUUCUCAUAUAGUGCCUGAUUAGGUUGGAGACUGCAUGGCAAGGCAUCUGAGACCAUUGCUCCAUACGAAAUCUUGAGGUCAAAGCUGGUGGACUUUCCUCUUCAGUUCACCCCAUGGGAUUUCUAUAAGGGUUCAAGUCAUGGGACUUGGAUGGCCUUGACAGGACCUUGAUUUUGAUGUAUGUUUUGGAUCAUUGUCCUGUUGUAAGAUCCAACUAUGACCCAUUUUAAGCUUUCUGAUAGAGACAAUCAGGUGUUCAUUUAAUCUGUUGAUAUUUGAUAAAGUACUUGAUGCCAUGUAUCCUAAAAAAAAUGUCUAGGUCCUCUGGUAGAAAAACAGUCCCAAAACAUUAAAGAGCCACCACUAUAUUUAACCAUGUGCAUGAGGUACGUUCCCAGGUGGCUAAAACUCCGUGUACAAAAAAACACUAUUUUUUAUUGCCAAAAAGCUCUAUUUUGGUUUCAUCUGCUUUUCAUGCAAAAAAAUAACAGGAACACAUCUUAUUAAUAUACUGAAUCCUUAAGCAACGAUACUAAUAUACUUUUAUUUUCAUUAUUAUUUUAAAGAUAAUAUUCACAUGUCUACUGUCUAAAAAAAAAAGGUGCGCUUCUUCAUUUUCAAAUGUGGAAGUUUUAGAAAAUCUUAAACCUCUUGGAGUGUUUUUCUCUUUAAGGUGGCUAUUUCCAAUUUCUAUUUCUAAGAGUUUUUACAAAUCUUUAAAUGUUACUUCUAUAAUCAUCAUUAUUGGAAAUGUUGGCAUUGUCAUUUUCCGGACUAUUCAUAUCAUCAAAACCACGUUUCAUAUUCUCUAGAUAUUUAAAAAGUGACAUUAUAAAAAAGUAGCCUAACCUGAAAUAGGGCUUUACAGAAUAAAAUACUAAAAUAUACAAUCAAGUAAAAAAUGGCGCUAUACAAAAUAUAAGUUCAAUGAGUGAGAUAAAUCCUUAUCCAAGGUAAAGUAUUUUAAAGAAAAGCUGCACCUUUAAAAGUGAAAUAGCUGGAGAAGACACCUGGUAUUAAAAUGUAUAAUACAUUUUUAUACAUUCUAAUACUAGCUGUUUUCUCAAGCUAUUUCCCCUAAAGGUGCCGCUUUUCUUUAAAAUAAGUUCUCAAAAGAGGGAUUUGACUCUAUGCCUUAUGAAAAUAAUUGUUAGCCACUGGUUAAACAUGUGGUUAUCAUAAUAAUUAGGUUUUAAUGUUCCAUAUUCUCUACAUAAUGCAAGUGGUACCAUAUACCAAAAAUAAAUAAAAGUAUGAUAUACUAUAAGCAUGAAUUAUACCUUACCACCUGGUAAUCUGAUGAUUGAUUUCGGAAAUAUAAAAUGCCAAGAACCCUUCAUACAGGACAGCAUGUAGCCAAAAUUACUGUUUGGUAGAUGAAAGAGAGUUGUCUCUGACAGCUUUUCAUGGUUUGGGCUAUACCUCUUAGUUCCAAUAAAGAAUAUUCUACAGAGAUAUUCUAGAUGAAUCGUUAACUCCAGCUUUGUGGAAAGUUUGAGGAAGUGGUUUUACUGUUUCACAAUGACUGUACUGUUCUGGACAUAGUCCGUGCAGAGAUAGUUUUUGGUGAUCGAUGUGAAAGGUUUUGACGAGCCAUCUCAUCUCUAAUACAAUUGGGCAUCUCUUUAAAUUAAAAAUGCUGACUGCAAGCCAAACCCAGUUAUCCUGCAUCGUGGUUGCACAUCCUUGCAACAACAUUUCAGCAUCUAGGCUUAGAAAAUCAUUUCCAGAAAAGUGGAGAAUGAUAUACAACAUGGACCAACACCAUAUAAAUUCCCAAGAUUUUUGAACAACUUACAAUUUUAUUUAUUUAUUUAUUACUGGCAUUUAUAAAGCGCCAACAUAUUUACUGUACAAUUGGGAAAAAGAAAGUACAAUGUAAACAGACCAAUACAAAAGGUAAAGAGGGCCCUGCCCGUGAGCGGAGAUCAUCAAAACGUUUAUACAGAGUACUUUGCUAGAUAGCCUGUGAGCUUGCAAUCUAAAGGUGAAAGUGGGGAAAUGAGACAAGAGGUAGCAGGGAGAAUUUGGAAGUGAUGGUAGAGAGAGUUAAUAGUAUAAUUGCACUAACUGGUAACAUGUAAAGUGAAUGAGGAGGUGAUUGACUGUGAUGUCAACAGGCCCGGACUGGCCAUCGGGCAAACCGGGGAAAUGCCCGGUGGGCCGCGAUGGCCACAGGCCGAGGCCGGGUAGAUCCAGCCGGUUCAUGCAGAGCCGGCGCUAUCCGAGUGCCGGCCCCGCUGUGUUCUAUGAAGGGCCGAUGGGGAGAUCAAGGAUCUCCCUCACCGGCCUACAUGCUCUAAAAUGCGGCCGCAGGCGGGGGAGAAAGGGAGGGAGACAGCCAAGCUGGAGAGAGGACCCAGCGGAGCGAUAACUUGCAGCUCCGCCGGGUUUCUCUUGCGAGAUCCGGACCGUUGCCAUGGCAACCGGCCGGGUCUCGCAAGAGUGAACUCUAGCCCCAAAGGGUUAGAGUUCACUUACCACGAGGACCACCAGGGAUGGAUGGAGGCAGCACGACCCCCCUCCUCUUCCAGGCUACCGGUAUGAAUGGAGUGGGGGUAUAAUGUAUUUAUUUUUAUAAUAAUAAAAAAAAAAAAAAAUCAAUAUUGUCAUUUACCUUCCUCCCCCAAUACACAAUCCUUGCAAACACACACAUCACCCUCACCCAGCACCCUAAUACACUCACACAUCACCCUCACCCAGCACCCUAACACUCACCCAGCACCCUAACACAUACCCAGCAUCCUAACACUCACACAGCACCCUAACACUCACCCAGCACCUCCUAACACAUACCCAGCACCCCACACUCACCUGUGCACCCCUAACACUCACCCAGCACCCUAACACAUACCCAGUAACCCUAACACUCCACCCAGCACCUUAACACAUACACAGCACCCCCAACACUCACCCAGCACCCUAACUCUCACACAGCUCCCCCUAACGCUCACCCAGCAUCCUAACGCCACCCAGCACCCUAACACAUACACACACAGCACCCCUAACACUCACCCAGCACCCCAACACAUACACAGCACCCUAACGCUCACCCAGCACCCUAACGCUCACACAGCACCCUAACACAUACACAGCACCCUAACGCUCACCCAGCACCCUAACACAUACACAGCACCCUAACACUCACCCAGCACCCUAACACACACACAGCACCCUAACACUCACCCAGCACCCUAACACAUACUCAGCACCCUAACACUCACCCAGCACCCUAACACACACACAGCACCCUAACACUCACCCAGCACCCUAACACAUACACAGCACCCUAACACUCACCCAGCACCCUAACACAUACACAGCACCCUAACACUCACCCAGCACCCUAGCACAUACCCAGCACCCUAACACUCACCCAGCACCCUAACACAUACCCAGCACCCUAACACUCACCCAGUAACCUAACACUCAUCCACACCCUAACACACACACAGCACCCCACCACACAGCAAUCGUAACACCUCACCCAGCACCUGGGUAACACACACAGCACCCUAACACAUCACCCAGCACCCUAACACUCACCCAGCACCCUAACACUCACACAGCACCCUAACACUCACCCAGCACCCUAACGCUCACCCAGCACCCUAAUGCUCAUCCAGCAUCCUAAUACUCACCCAGCACCCUAACACAUACACAGCACCCUAACACUCACCCAGCACCCUAACACACACAGCACCCUAACACACACAUCACCCUAACACACACAUCACCCUAACACACACACAUCACCCUCACUCACACACUAUACUCCUCACAAAUGCGCACACACACCCUAACACACACACAUCACCCUUGCACAGCACCCACACAAACAGCACCCUCACACACAGCGCCCUCACACACACACACAGAGCACCCUCCCACACACACAGCACCCUCCCACACACACUAUACUCCUCACAAAUGCGCACUACACCCCACACACACACAGCAGCCCCCAAACACGCUGCACCACUCACACACACACUCACUAGAUCUCCUAUACGCACUCUUGAGUCCUUCAAACACACACUAGAUCCCCUACACACAGACUCUGCACCAGCUACACACAUGCUACAUUUCUGACCUACACACUCUGGAUCCCCUAUGCACACACUAGAUUCCAUUUAAGCAAACACAUAGUGUCUCCAUAAAUGGGAUUCAGUGAGUAUCCCAAUUAUGGAAACCCCUGAGACCAGUUUCAAGCAAACACAACGCAAGCAUGUUAUUAAAUUUGCUUGCGCUGUGAAGAACAAAUACAGGGCCCUUUUCUCAUGCCCUGGAAGAGCAUUGAACCAACAUGCUCACUUCCAUUGGGGAUGACAAAACACACCCCAUCUGGCCCCACCCCCUUUUCAGUGGGCUGCUGUGAAUAAAAAAUGCCCGGGCCGAAUUUUUUCCCCAGUCAGGCCCUGGAUGUCAAACAGCUGGAAGAGCAUGUUAUGACAUUAGAAGUAACCAGGGUGGGUGGGUUUUGCUUAGUGAAAAAGAAAUUGCUUUGUUGUAUUGAGCUUUUUCAAUUUUAACUGGUUUGGGAAACUGACAGCAUAGCGAACUUAGAUAUUUGUUCCAGAUUGGAUAUUUUGACUUUCAAUUUGAAAUUCACCUUAAAUUCACUUUGAAUUCUCACGUUAAAUAUAACUCUGUAUAUGCCCAAAUUAUGAGAAUCACCACUGUUCACUUGCACGUUAUAAAGUGUCAAUAGCCAGGAAUUCAAAGCAAGUUAAAAGGGAAUUUCAAACUUUAGGCCAAAGGAGCUCAACUAAAAACAUAGCUGACUUGGAGAGUUUAUCUUUCCUUAUUUAGAUUUAUGGUCUAAUAUUUGACCUGAAUAAACAUGUACAUGUAUAAUUUUUUAAAAUAGGUGACAACAGUCACAUAGUUUGGGGUCCUACCCACAGUUCAAUCUGUCAGGCAGGUUUCAGGAAGCAUGAGGGGACUUGGCACUAGAACCAUGCACAAAGCGCUCUAGCUGCUCUGCAUAGAUGGUCUGCCUUGGUGGAGUGGUGGGGGGUUGUUAGUCAGCCUCGCCAUCCACUUUGAUAUGUUGGUGGUACCCCUGCCCACUUUACUAUAAAGUGAUGCUAGUACAAAUGUAAAAAAAGAGUAGGAAUAAUUUGUUACCUGUCAGCCUGUGUGUAUUAGAGUUCUUGCAAUAUUUUGGUAAAACAAAUAUCUACAAUUAUACUUUACUCCUAAUUGAUAUUUUAGAUAAAAUUUUGCAAAAGGGGUGACAGCUUUUUGUAAUUUCUUGUUGUUUAUUGGGGGGAGGGGACAUAAGGGGAGAGGUAGGAAUGUUGUUUUCUAUUUUCGUUGAAAGAAAGACUAGUUCCAGGAAGAUCUAAAAAAAAAAACAACAAAUCGACCUGAAACACGGUAAUCGAUUCCUUUGAAUUUUUGCUCUUAAACACGACUUGUAUGAAUGUGGAAGAUCUUGUCUGAUGACUUGUAGAAUAGGUUGUAAUCAUUGGUAUUCAACCUUUUGUUUCAUUUAAGGCAAAUUUCAGUCUUGCUUAGAACAACUCAUACGUAGUUAUCUUUCACCCUACGGGUUUAGUGUUUAGCAAUUUAGUGUUACGUGAAUAAAUCUUAAAAUCUUGAAAUUAUUUUACAAUAACCAUGCGUUUUAGAGGGUAAAUCUAUUAGUGGCUUUGUAUUGCAUGUGCUCAGUAACAUAUCUUGUAUAUGUUAUAAAUGUGGACACUGGAUUGUGCUAGUGAGAUAGCUCAGCAACUAGAGCUCUACCAGCUAUGUCUUAGACUCACAGGUUAAGGUUAAUGCUACUUGUUACCCCCAACAUCAGUGUCCCGUGAAGUGUGACUUGUUCUUUUGGUCUCCCAAAAGAAUAGGCAGGUCAGCCUGGUGUGAAGGCAUGCUAAGCUGAAUGUCAAUCAUGCAGGUCAGCCCAUCAAUGCUGUCUACAUGGUCCUAGUGCUCUGAGUGCAGUGGAUAGACUUUCAGGAAACAGUUCCCUGGUGUUCCCAAGACACAGGGCUAGUGCAAGACUAUUUUACACCCUAGACCAGAACAGUGACUUGCACCCCACGCAUCAAAAAACACAGCUCCUCUUUGUGUCUCUUCCCCGCAGCCCCUUUUUGUGUCUCAUUCUCUUCUUAGCCUAUUUUCCCCCAGCCCCUGACACUAUAGUGUUAUUUUAAGAUGAGGGCGCCCAGUUGCAGAAUAAUGAGGUGUUUAUUUCUACAUUUAAUUGACUAGUUCACACCUCUAUUAUUAACCAUGGGGAUAAGUAAAUAUAAUAUGAAAAAUCCUUGGAGAUUAAACUUACCCUUUAAGCUUCCCCCCAACCCCCAGCUGUGUGUGUCUCUUUGUCUCCACAAGCCCCUCUCUGUGUCUCUUUGUCCUUCCCAGUCCUUCUGAGUGCCUAUUUGCCACCCUCAGCCCUCUGUAUGCAUCUCCUCCACUGCCUCCCACCCCAUAUUGAUGCUCAGCCCCAUGCUAGCUCACCUCUUUCCUUCUUAUAGCAUGGCCUUGGACCUUAGAGGAGCUCCUGUGACGUCUACCCGGUCUGACAGGUAGCUGUUCAGUGCUCUCAGUGACUGGGUAGGGGAAACUGAAGCUCCUCUACCCUGGUCUGUAGCUCGGCCACGCUAUGUGCAGCGACUGACAGGAGGGGAAUGCUGUGUGCAUCACCUAGAGAUUUUGUCCCCAAGGCUGGAGCAUCCUAGGUGGCUGCUUAAUCCACUUAGCAGUUGCACCGGCCCUGAUGGGAAACCACGAAAUAAAGUGUAGAUAGCAGGAUAGCACCCUUAAGUAGGGAGUGUUCUGCCAAAACCUAGACAGUUGGGAGGCCCACUGAAGUCAGUAAAUUUAGUACAAUUAAAAUGGCUUUGUCUCCUCAAACUUGCCUUUCUCCUAUCGCUUCUUCUUCUCUUUCUCUUUCACAAUUUGUUCUUCUCUUCUUUAUUUCUAAUCUAUUUCUCUUUAAAAUAUAAGACAAAAUAGGGACAACAUUGUCUUAUGUAUUUUCCCCACGCUUAUGACAGUCUUGACAAUGGAAGUGGAGCUUGCUUUAUGUAUUAAGUUCUUGCCUUUAUCAAGCUUUCUCAAGUGUAGGAAAAAUACAUAAGAUUUCUUAUUUAGCCUUCAUAUUAUAUUGUGAACAGAUAAAAUAGAACAUUUUAGGGACAUGAAAAGUAUUUUAGUAGACUGUUGAAAAAACAAAGUAAACCUCAAUGUAUGUUCUCCCUGAUAAAAUAUUUCUAAAUAGAGAUCUAAAAGGUAAGAAAUGUUUAUCCAAACAUUAGCUCCUGGAGAAUGUGGAACACCCUUUCUCCCUAAAUACUUUUUUUUUUUAAUAUCAUAUUGUAUUUUUUUAGUAAAUUUGAAUUCUCAAAAUGUUUCUUCCCCACCUAAUUUGACCUUUCUAGACUGUGAAUAUACACUGGUAGUGAAACAGUCUACAAUUUAAUUCUGUGUUAGAGCAGUCGAUGUAAGAAAUUACGGGUCACAGACACAUCAAGGAGAGCAUUUACAGGCUUUUAUAGAUCAAAGGGUUAAAGAUGCGAUCAAUAAACAUACAUUGCAUUGUUUGAACUGACAGAACUCAUAGUGGUAGUCAGCUGUUUUGGUUAGUAGGAUAUAGGGGUCCAUUAUCUGCUAAAAUAGUAAAAAAAAAUUAUUAUAGCUUAAAACACUAUGUUCGAUUUAUUUACCGUAUUUUUCGCUCCAUAAGACGCACCUCACCAUAAGACGCACCUAGUUUUUAGAGGAGGAAACCCAGAAGAAAAAAAAUAUUCUGAACAAACUGUUCCAUAGUGUUUCUUACCAUGGGACAGUUUGUUCAGAAUAUUUUUUUUUCUCCCCUGUCCCAUAAUGAUCUUUAACCCCUCCUCCCCUUGUCCAUUAGUGUUCUGAUCCCAUAGUGUCCCCCCCUCCCAUUGUCCCAUAGUGCACUUUCCCUCCCAUAGUGUCCCCCCCUGCCCUUGUCCCAUAGUGUCUCCCCCUCCCCUUGUCCCAUAGUGUCCCCCCCUCCCCUUGUCCCAUAGUGUCUCCCCUCCCUUUCUCCCAUAGUGUCCCCCUCCCCUUGUCCCAUAGUGUCUCCUCCCCUCCCCUUGUCUCAUAGUGUCUCCUCCCCUCCCCUUCUCCCAUAGUGUCUCCCCUCCCUUUCUCCCAUAGUGUCCCCCUCCCCUUGUCCCUUAGUGUCUCCCCUCCCUUUCUCCCAUAGUGUCCCCCUCCCCUUGUCCCAUAAUUACUUACCUGUCUUGGAGUGCGGGCCGGCUUCACAGCGCGCUCCGCGGUCCAGGAACUUCUAUUUCAGGUUCCGGUUUCCGGCGGGACUGAAAGGAAAUGUGCACACUGAGUGUGCACUUCCUUUCAGUCCCGCCGGAAACCGGAACCUGAAAUAGAAGUUCCUGGACCGCGGAGCGCGCUGUGAAGCCGGCCCACGCUCCAAGACAGGUAAGUAAAGCUUCACAUUCGCUCCAUAAGACGCACAGACAUUUCCCCUCACUUUUGAGGGGAAAAAAAGUGCGUCUUAUGGAGCGAAAAAUACGGGUAUAAUGUGUUGGUUUUUUUAUGUGAAUAUAGUGUUUGUAGGGAGCAGAUUAGGAAUAUUACAUUUUUCUUGCUUAUUCGGGAGAGACUGUUUUUCCUAAAGUGAUUACUUGAUAGUGUCAUUUAAUUGUUUGAUAUCUUAAAAAAAAUAAUGAUUAAUUAAUUCAUUGUUUCUUAAAGGGUAAGUUUAAUUUCCAAGGAUUUUUCAUAUUAUAUUUACUUAUCCCCAUAGUUAAUAAAAGAGCUGUGAACUAGUCAAUUAAAUGUAGAAAUAAACACCUCAUUCUGCAACUGGGCGCCCUCAUCUUAAAAUAACACUAUAGUGUCAGGAAUACAAACAUGGACAUACUCAGGAAUACAAACAUGUAUUCUUGACACUGUAGGUCUAAAUAACAGUUUAGUCGCCCAUUCUCCACCAAUCAGCAUCUCCUCAUAGAGAUGCAUUGAAUCAAUGCAUCUCUAUGGGAAAAGUUCAUCGCCUCCAUGCAGAGACGCUGAACACGAGUGUUGCACACUGGGCAGCACUGACACAGGAAGCACCUCUAGUGGCCGACUGAGUGACUAACACUAGAGGUGUUUCUAGGCAGCAAUGUAAACACUGCCUUUUCUCUGUAAAGGCAGUGUUUACAUUAACAAGCCCACAGUGACAUGCAAUAGACACCAGAACAACUACAUUAAGCUGUAGUUGUUCUGGUGACUAUGGUGUCCCUUUAACUCUGUUUCAAUAAUUCCCUUUCAUUGAUCAGUGCCAAAUGGUUGUUUAUUAGGGAGGGAUAUUGGACCAUAUUUUGUUUUUCCUUGUCCUUCACCCUGUGGUGCUGUUUUUUGUAUUAUUAUACGUAUCUUUAUGGUUAUAGUUCUUAUGUAAUAUUUGCAUGGGCUGUGCCUUGUCCGAACUGCAUUAUGAUGUAUUUUGCUUAAUCUUUAAUAUAAAUUAAAAGAAAACAGUGCUUCUCAUGGAAAAUAGGAUUAUGCGAGUUACAGGUUAUUUUCUAUCUUUUAUUUUAUGGUUUAAAUUCCAGUGAUGGUGUCCCUUUAAGAGAGGGUUCCUCUUUAAUUUAUAUCAAAUUAAACAUGAAAAUACCAUAUUGAAUGGUGUUACUUUUGUCAUAUUUUAUGAAAUAACAUAGAGCAGUAUCUUUUCCAUAAUCAUAUUAUACCAAAUUAUUCCCCCCACCUUUAGGGCAACAUAGCAACAUUUGAAACAGUAGGACAGAGAAUGAACCCCAUACUUAAGAGAAAAUUAAUCUUUAUUAGUGUUUCUAUAAAUAGGAAUUAAUAGAAUUAAAUAUUAGACAUUCAGCGGAUACAUUGCUUGUGAGCCGAUUCUUUGUCACAGACGGAUUUGACCCAUGUAAAUGAAGAUCUGUCCUGAAGACAUGUCAAUAGAGUGUAUUGUGUACUGUAUUCAAACAAGAGGCAUUAACUGAUGCUGUUUGUUGCCUCAAAACCUUCCUGGCCUCCGAAUUAUGAAUAAUUUUUUUUCAGAACAGAAUAAAGGUCUCUUCAUUAGUUUAUUGCAAAUUAUAAUGAUAAUUUAACUGCGGCUGAAUAUAACCAGUUACUAUAGAGAUUUAGUAAUUUCUGAACUGUAAUUCAUCUGAAUUUGGGCCGAUCUGAUGAUCGUUUCAGUUCCCAAAAUCCAAGCCGAAAUGUAACUGAAUCAACAAUUAAAUGAAACACGCAAGAGACAAGCAUGUUCAUUUCAGUUUGUGAUUCUGAAUACUGCCAAAAAAAAGAGAUGAUUGAUGGGGAAAAAAAAGAUGAUUGAUGGGAAAAAAAAGAUGAUUGAUGUUUAGGGGACAGUCCCUGACAGUCAAAUGUUGAUUUUAUUCACAGAUUAAUUGAGAGUGCCGUAAUAGAGGGGGGAAAAAGAGGAGCAUUUAAAAAAUUUUUUUAAUAAUUAUAUAUUACAUAUUUAAUAUAUAAAUGCAUACGUAUUAUUUUUUCACUGCUCCUCCGAUUUUUUUUCUCACUUGAUCUGUGAACCACAUGGUGGAAAAAUGCUUUUAUCAGUGUACUGCAAAUUAUAUAUAUAUAUAUAUAAUUUGCAGUACACAUAUUUACCAUAUUUCCAACUUUUGGUUCGUCUGAUUCAUUUCCCAAUCUUUGUCACCUAAAUUUACAAUGCUUUCCUAUGGACGCUGGCAUCUUCUCACUGUGAUUUUCACAGUGAGAAGCACGCAAGCGCCUCUAGCGGCUGUCAAGAGACAGCCACUGGAGGCUGGAUUAACCCCCAGGAGCUGCGCGUGCAUUCAGCCGGUCGCAUAGGAAAGCAUUAUCAAUGCUUUCCUAUGGACGCUUGCGUGUUCUCACUGUGAUUUUCACAGUGAGAAUCACGCAAGCGCCUCUAGCGGCUGUCAAUGAGACAGCCGCUAGAUGCUUUGGGGGAAGGCUUAACCCAUUCAUAAACAUAGCAGUUUCUCUGAAACUGCUAUGUUUAUAAAAAAAAGGGUUAAUCCUAGCUGGACCAGGCACACAGACCACUUCAUUAAGCUGAAGUGGUCUGGGUGCCUAGAGUGGUCCUUUUAGUCUAUCCUUUACCAUUACCAAUCUGCUGUACGUAUACUUAUGAAAUAAUAUUAUAUAUGGGAUUACAAUGUCAAGUCUUAUACUACCAGCCAAGCCUUAAAACUUACUUGUCAAUGCAUUAUAAGACAUUAUAAAAUGAUAAGACAUUUUAAAAUUGCUUGAUAUAAUAUUAUAAAUAAAUUCACUUGUAUAAUUUAUUAUUAUGCAACGCAUAUAGUAGGUCUGUUUGGCAAAGACGAUUGUACUCUGGUAUGUUUUCUCCUGUAUAUUUAGGAGGUUUGUGAUAGCACUUUGAUUGGUUGUGAAUGUUUGGCUGUUUCUUGCACUGACAGUGGGGAUAUUAUUUUCAUGCUAAAAGACAGGAGGUAGCCUGGUCUACAAUAAGACAUAUUUCUUCAGUAACGUAUUAUAGAAUAAUGACUGUGCCACUGUGCACGAAUAUUCUGCUUAGCAAAAUGCAUUAGCAGAAAUGUUUACAAAAGGCUUGUUUGCUCAAUAAAGUCUGCCAUCUAAGUAAUAUUGGUUCAUCAUUGAAGCUUAUUAGAACAAAUCUUGCUUUCAUUUUGACUGUAAACUUGAAAACAGUAAUAUUGAAAGAAAAGUCUUAACUGCAACAUUAAGAAUUUGCUUAAAUUGAUCAAUUACUUGCUAGACAACAUGUGGUUUUCUUUAAGUCUUUGUUCCACAGAUGAAGGCUUAACUUUAGUAACAGUAAGAAUACAAUCUAAAGGUGAAGGUUGUAGAACAAGACUGUAUGGGGUUGAAGCGAUAGAUAAGGACAGAAAUUUGCAGACUGUAAGAUCUCUAGGAUGAACGUUGAUUUACUGUCACCAUCCAGGGCCCCUAGUGUCCUGCUUUUGGUGGAUACAAUCUUGAUUUUGGGGUCCUGUCCCAAUUUAGUCCCAUAGAAUACUGCAUUUGAGGACUCCAGAGAACAGUCCCCUGGCAGCACCGUGCUAGGGCAUUAUUAGACUUGCUUGCACCAUACAGUAGGCUUUAGGACUUCAGCAGUGCUCUAUGCAUGGUCUUGUAGUUUGGGGGCCUGUAGCCUGCAUGAUCCUUUAGGCAUGAUACCAGGCUGGGAUACCCCUUCAAUAGGUAGACAUAUCCACUCCCUGGAAGGCCUACCUGUCCAACUGGCAUCACUAAAAAUGCCCACAUGGCCCAAUUUUAUACCUUCCAAUACUAGGACCUAUGAUCAUCAUGUUUGUAAAAUAUCAUCCUAACACUAGUGUACACAUGCACAAGCAUAAGUACAUAAUUUCACAUACUGACCCUUAUAUAUGCAUUUAUAUUCACUAAAGCCUGAAUAUUCCCAGUUAAGAAUACCUGAAACCAAUGGCAUUCAGAUUGCAAACUCCCACUGGUGUUCACACUAUUUAACAAUGUCCAGAUUUUGCAAUAAUUACUCUGAAUGAGCCAGAAUAAUGUUUAUAUUUUAGCCUGUCUAAACACAGCCAGAUGGCCAUGAUUUGGAGCUAAAUCCUGAAAAUCUUUAGCUAUAUUUUAAAAAUCUGAACUAUUUGUCCUCUUGCAGCACCAGCAAUAAACAUGCCAUUAAAUUUAAAAAAUUGUCUGCAUUAGAAGGGUUGACAAUGUGGGAUCUCUUUUAAGCCAGCCUUCACAAAAAAAAUACUUAAAAAGUAUAUUGGGUCAUAACCAGGUGAUUCAAAUUCUCUCUCAUGAUCCCGCUUGACAUGCUCAAGUUUCUACUAAAUGGUACAAAUUACUUUUUUCAGAAUCAAUAUCCCACCCCCUCGGCAGUGGCACAUGGUAUUCAUGUAUUGAGAAUAAGGGGGAACCUGCGGUAGGUUGACAGUAAUAAGGCCCCCUAUUGAUUUUGAGGCUCAAUUCCACCUCUUAUGGGAUGGAGCCUUUAGUGACAAGUGGACAUUAGUUGCUUAGCAACCAGUUUUCAGUUAGUUUUCCCAAAAUCAUGGCAUGGACAAAACUUGAGCCAUCCAAAGCCAUGCUCAAGUAGAGUGGAAGAUAUGUUCUUGAACAACAUCCAUAAAUGCUUCCAAGAGCGCAUUGCAGACAAGGGUAUUUUAGUAGACUUUAGCUAAGUCAAACUUCAGAAUCUGGACAGAAAUGUAACAUCUUCAGUUUUAACAAUUUCAAGACAGUUUUACUAUAUAACACAUUGUCGGUUAUUACACAAACAUAGUUUUUAAUAAGCAUCCAUAUGCACUAAAAGAUACAAUGUUGAAGAUGCUUUGCUCCAAUUUCAAUUUUUACCGUCCAGGUAAGAAAGCCUCCAUGAAGAUCGUAAUACAAUAACAUUAAAAAAAACAAAAAACAUUUAACACGUGUUUGCGAGUCUCCCAACAGUGAGCCUAUUUUUUGAAUGUAGCUAAAAAAAGUAUUAAUUAACAUAUCACUCCAUAUGUGUAACACUGGGAUUUUCCUUCUAGUCUCCUGCUUGAAGGUGUCUUUGAGACUUACAGUGUAGCUUCUAAAGAUCUAGAUUAGAAAUUAUUAGGAGGAAAGCAAUGACAGAACAGGAAGUGAAGUACAAAAUGGAAACGACAGGACAGGAAAAUAAAUAAUGUCAACACAUGCCUGAGGUCUGACACAUCAAUGUUUUUCUUCCUAAAUGGAGUCUGUGCAUUGUCUGUGGAUCAUUUUCUCUGAUGACAUUAUUGUUCUGAUUAAAAGUGAAAGACCUGAAACAAAACUAGUACAAUUUGGAGCUGAGAAAUACAUAAUAAAAUAAAUAAAUAAAAAAUAUAUUAAAAAAAAUAAAAUAAAAAACUCAACUUUAAUUGUCCUAUGUUUACUGCUGAGUCUCCAGGAUUUGUCACUUUUACAGUGUACACACUAGGAAGUGGCUGAAAUUACUCAGCUAAUCCUGGUUCUUGCAGUAAUUGAAUGGUGGCAUUGUGCAUAUCCCAUACCCUACGGAAUUCUUUAUCUUGUCUUAAAAGCACUUGAAUAGUACACACUCCCUGGGCAGUUGUGAUUUACAAAUGCCAUGUCUUCUCUAAGCUGACAUUUCCAGAAGUUUGAAAAAGGAAUAGUACAUUUUACGGCAACAAAUUCAAGUAAAAAAAAAAAAAAUAGAUCUUUUUUUUUUCUAGCUUUGCCUAACGAUUUGAAUUCCAGUGUCAAUUUUUCCACAUUUAUCAGUUGCGUAAAUAAACUCAACAUAUAAUAAUAUGGCCAACAAAAUAACAAACACUUUAUUUUCACUUAUAAUUGAUUCAUAUCUUGAGAAGCUAUUAGGCUAGCACUAAAUCCAUAUUAUUACUAUUGGUAUUUAUAUAGCGCCAACUAAUUCCGCAGCGCUUUACAAUAUUAUGAAAGGUGGGAAGUUUACAAUAAAUGAGACAAUUACACAGUGACACAGGAACAGUAGAUAGAUGAGGGUCCUGUUUAAAUGAGCUUACAGUCUAGAGGAGGUGGGGUACAAAUACAGAACAGGGCAGCAAGGGUGACAGCCACCAAACAAGGAUAAUCUUAAUUUAUAUUGCCAUUGGGGGGAGGGGGUGUGUGUGUGUGUGUGUGUGUGUGUGUGUGUGUGUGUGUGUGUGUGUGUGUGAUUUAUUAAAUGGUAUUGUAUGUUUUCUUAAACAUGAAAUAUUUAUUUUCACUUACUAAAGUCAUUUCUUUAUAACAUUCACAAGCCUGUACCAUGUUACCAACAUUUUUUUAGACUACAAAAAUAUUUAUUUUAGAUUGAUUUUAGCAAUACUUUAUCUUCACAACAAUAUGUUUAAACUAAAUUGCUAUUAUAAGCAACAUGUCUCAUUAUACUGACUAAUUUAUUGUUGUUUUUUCCCCCCAGGUACAAGGCCUAUGUAAUAGUAAGUAUUGCCUUUUUUACAUCAAUGUCAUAGAGCCACCUAGUGGUAGAAACAGACUCUAACAUGCAAUAGCUCACUACAAAUGUACUUUGCCAUACAGCGAUUUAUUAUUCAAUAAAGUGGAAAAUGCCAGGAAUUCAAAGUGAAUUUCAAAGUUAAGGACGAAAUAAGUGACCUGCAAAAAUGAUUCAAGUUUGGUUGUGUCUGAUAAAAAAAUAAAAUAAAAAAAAAGCCUGCUAAAUUUUGUAUCAAUAGAUUAUUAUUUUUAGAUUUAAUUGAGAGAUUUAUGUGAUGAGUGGGCAAAUGAGCAUGGCACUGUAAUGCAAUAAUUGAUGUCAAAAUAUACAUAAAUAUAUAUACAUGUUAAUUGAAUAAAUUAAAAAAUGAAGAAAGCAAUAUGUACAAUGUAUGUUUUUUCUGGUUAACAUCUUGAUCAACACUAUGCACCUUUCAAUCUCCAAGCGAUUCCUUAGAACUAUAUUUAAGAUAGGAGAAUAAUAUCUAACUCUCCCAGAUACAUCAGGUACUUUGUGAAAUACCUGAUACUCACUUACCUAUGAGCUAGCAGGAAAUCCCUUCCAAAGCUUUUUCGAAAAUAACCACUUUUGCUUUUAUGUUCCCUGAUUCCCGGAAUGUUUAUCUACCUUUAUUACAUCUGUUGUAUUUUGACACAUUGUUGUCAACUGUAGUUUAACUCAUUGUGAGUGCUAAGUUUGUCAGCAAUAUGAAAUAAAACAAAUAUUAUAUAUUUCCAUUUGUUUAAAACGUACUGAGAUUUAUAGAUCUCAUUUGCUUGCUUAAAAUAACCAGAAAGUCAUCCCCAUUCCAAAACAAAGUCCAUGCCAAAAAAAAAAUGCCAUUCAGCAACGCAGUUUACUCAGAUUAUUGACUGGCACAUUCAUCUGGAUAUGUUUCUUUAACUUCCCAUAUGCAAGACUGUGGCUUCAUACACACCUCCCAUGGUGUCUAGCUAUCCUCAACUCAUUAUAAAUUUGGCAGUCCACAGCUAAAUAUACUCUACUCAUUUUACUCUCAAUGGAUAGGAUUGCAAAAAUAUUAUGUUAGUACAAAAAUCAUCCCAUCUACAACAAAUGGAAAUGAUACUCAUCGCGGAAUGUUGAAGGAUUUGAGAUCAGAUAAGAAUGUCCUCCCAAAGUUUUGAAUCCAAAGCAUUUUUAUUAUAACAUUGCACUUUAAUAGUUUGAUUUACUAAAGUGGUUAAUAUUUAUAGUACUUUACAAAAAGCACUUGAUACAAAUACAUUCACUUUUGAUUGACGUAAUAGUUUAUAAAAUGUUGAGUACGUAUUUAUUUCAAAACACAACUGCUUAUUCUUUAACUCCAGGUGUUUCUCAGUGCAUCUCAAGCAGUAACCAAAGUGCUAUUACCGGACUGCCGGAAGGAUUUACCCAGCAGAAUAUUACAGAUUUAGACGGCAAUAAUGUAUCAUCAUCUGAUGUUUCUGGUGGUACAACAUAUAACUUCUGUUAUGGAAACUCCUCAGAAUCCUGCUGUGUUAAUAUUACGACAGGUAAGUUGUUUGUAGAUAAGUUCUGUAUAUAUAAAUUGAAUUAUACCUAAUAAUGAGAUAAUCUAAACAGGAAUUCUCACUUCUCAGAAGUUUUAAUAUUAUGUUUACUAAUCACCUAUAUUUAAAAGAACAACCCAUUACAAAAUCAACACUUUAGUAGAGAUACCCAAAAAGAAACAUUUAGGUAAUUUAUUUUGCAAAAACUGCAGAUCUAGUAUCUAGUAUUGUGCCACGGAAUGUCCAGUCAGAGACAUGUUCGUGGACAUCCAAUCACAGACUUCUCAUUGAGCCAUGUUACAGCUUAUCGAGAAAGUGCUUGCCUUUAAAUUUAGGUUCCAGGAGAAAGAAACACCUCCUGGUUGUUAAUUUUCAAAGUGUAAAUUUUUAUUGAAAUCUGCAUUUUUAUAUAAUUAAAAAAUGGCGCACUCUUUACACAUAAAGAAAAUUAACCAGUAUGUGUGUGAGAAAUCGGAAAAAUAAAAUUAACUGAGAACCUCCAUCUUGACUCCUGUUGGACAAAGGAACACUCUAGGCACCAUAACAACUACAGCUAUUUUUUAUGAUUUGACUACUUACUGUGAGACGGUGCCUGCCAAAUGUAGUGGUUAUGGUGCUUGGGGAUGUUCUUUUAAAAAAAAAUAGCGUCCUGCAUCUGACAGUCCACAUACAGACCACCGAUGACUUGUAUCAAACAUGUUUAUGGAAGCAGCGAUAAUCAAUGGGCAGGAGGGAACAACAUGUAAGAGAAGGAGAAGAAACACAGUGUUACUAAAGUCUUAAUUCAAAGUGAAUUUCAAAUUUAAGGUCAAAAUAGGAGAACUGGAAAAAAUCUCUAAGUCAGUUAUGCUUUCAGUUUGGCUACUCUGAAAUGUAAAUUCACUUUGAAUUCUCAUGUUUGUAAAUAACCCUUAUAGUCUUUCUCCUUCUUCUAUGCAAAAUGUGCUCUGACUGAUCUGGAUUGUAAUGCCAGUUGUUAAAUCUUAAAGGGACACUGCACUGCUUACAAACAACAUAAAUAACAAUCACUGUUUAGUUGAUAUACCCCAAAUGAAAAACUUGCAUUUAAUUAUGCCGUUUGUUCAUUGAGUGCAUCUAGAACCAGCUUGCAGAAGCUAUAGUUCUCUUGUCUGCAGCCUUUGCAAUCCCUCCCAUGCUAACCACACCCAGAUGUUCUGUGGCUGUCCAAUCACAGACUUCCCUGUACCACCCAGGUACUUCCCCUGUGGCCAAUUACCGAGAUCUGCAGGAGGUGAUCACAUUGACAGCCAGUCACUGUGAUCACUGUUAGUAUGUGUCAGCCAGUGAUCUGAAAUCACUGGCUGACACAUUGUCUCUGCCCCUCUCCUCACCUCACUUCGAUCUGAGAGAGAGAGAGGCAGAGAAAUCGUUGAUUGCAGCUCCUGUGAAAGAAAGAAAGUUUUAAAACUUUGUAAAAGUGUUUUAAAAAAAUUAUUUUAUUUAACCCUUCCCUUACUGUCAUCAGCCUGAUUAGGGCAUUUAUUACUUUUGUACUAUAUUUAAUUUUUUGGGGGGGAUCAAAAAAAAUGAUUUCUAAUUUUUUUGACCCUUUGUGCGAAUCCUAUACUGGUUACACAUGGGCGUUUCGCAUUUACCAGGAGAAGGAUAGCCAUCUUGACUCACCAGGAUGCCCUGAUUCUGUGGGUGCAAGUGGCAAGAUUGUUUGGGAUCUAAUCCUUCCCUUGUUAAAUAAGGGAUAUAGGCUAUGGUUGACAAUUAUUAUACCAGUAUACAAUUAUUUAAAAAUUUAUAUUGCUUUGAAACCCUAGCCUGUGGCAGUGAGGAAGAAUCGCAGGGGUUUCCCCCAAACCCUGGCAAGAGGCAGAAGCAGUAGAGGUUCCUCUUCAGCUCUCCGCCAGGAUGAGUUGCUUGCCCUUUGCUUGAGAGAUAGGAAGGAUGUAUACAUGCUGUCUACAAUGCACAACGAAAGUACAGUGCCAGUGAGAGGUAGCACUGAGCAUCUGGAAAAGCGAAGUGCAUUGUAGACUACAGCAAGUUUAUGGGGGGAGUAGACUUGGCUGACCAUUGCAUACAGCCCUAUCUGGUGAACCGAAAUACUAGGACCCGGUACAAGAAAAUUGCAAUCUACGUUUCCUUGAAUUUACGCUAAGCCUUUUGUUCCGUAUGUUAUUUGCCCAGCCCCCCAAUCCCACUUUGGAAUCAGGAGAUCUCCAAAGACUUUGUGGCAAACACUUCCCUUCCUGAAUCCCACCCCCAGUAAAAAAGCUCCCCAAAGAAAGUGCUGUGUUUGCUACAAUAAAGGAGUCCAAAAGGACUCCAGUUAUUACUGCCCAACCUGCCCAUCUCUACCCGCCCUCUGCAUAACAAACCGUUUAAAAGUCUACCAUACAGAGCUGAACUUCUGACUCACUGUGUAUUGGACUUUGGCAGCUUGUUUGCUUGAUUUCCCUGGAUUUCUGACCUCGGCUUGUCCUGACUACGCUUUGUUAGCUGCCUGUACCGACCCAUUGGCUUGUUUUACCGACUACUCUGACUUCUGGAUUCCCCUGACCUUGGCCUGUCCCUGUUUACGCUAGCCAUUCUCAAGUGGCUACACCAAACAGCUCAAAAUACUAAAUUUGUGGUACUUGAAAUGUGACUUCCCAAUAAAAAACUAAUCACAGGGUUAAUGCUGUGAUUAGCACUGAAAGGGUUAAAAAUAUAUAUUUUUUUAACUUCUCAAACUUUUCACACAGUAACUCUAUAUGUGAGAUCAAGAUCUAUCUGCCUCUCUCUGCCUCUAUCUGCCUUUAGAUCAAAGAUUAUGUGGGGGUACUGUUCUAUCCCUGUGAUAUAAUAAAAACAUAGAAACAUGGUACCUGUGGGUACUGUUCUAUUCAGAAGACAGUGUUAAAUCAAAAUACCAAGUCUCUAUUGCACUAACUAAUAUCAGGAUUAUGACAUUUUCCAGAGAUUUCCAGUGAAAAUUGCAAUUUAUCUGAUUAAAAAGACAAAAAUAAAAGUAGAAAUCGCUACAUGGGCCCUGCAUUUCUGUUAAAAUGGCUAGACCAAACAUUUCAAAUUAUGCCAUUUGUUAUAUUCUGGGUUGCCUACUUUUGAAAAUGGUAUGCCAUAACGGUGGAAAUGUUAUUACCCAUGCUGCCAUACUCUUUGAAAAGCCACAUACGCCCAGAAAAUAACUUUGACAAACUUACAAGCUGAAAGGGCAUCUAAUAGUUUUGUCCCCGUGACUACCCCAAAAAAAAGAAAGUCUGGUACAUGGGGGUACUGUUAUAUUCAGGAGACAAUGUUAAAUAAAAAUAGUGAGGCUUUGUUGCAAUAACUCAUAUCAGGAAUAUGAAAUGUCCUGUUAAAAGUGAGUUCAUGUGUGUGAAAAAGCACAAAUAAAACUAUAACCGCUAUGUGGGCCCUUCAUUUCUGAUAAAGUGGUUAGACCAAACAUCUCAAAUUAUGCCAUUUGUUAUGCCCUGGGUUGCCUACUUUUGAAAAUGGUAUGCCAUAAUUGUGGAAAUGUUAUUACCCAGGCUGCCAUGCUCUCACAAAGGCGAGAUAGGACAAGAAGAUCACUUUGCCAAAUUUCAAUGUAAAAAAGCAUAAAUGGAUAAGCCAUAUAUAUGAACCUAUAACUUUCCAAUACCCAUUUAAGCCUAUACAUGGGGGGUACCAUGGUGUUCGUGAGACAUCACUGAACAGAACUAGAAGUGUUUCAAGGCAGUAAACUAUAUACUAACAAUAAUAUUAUCAGUUUUUAUGUGAAAAAUGCAACAAAAAAACGAACACUAAUUUGGGCUAAAGUUUGUGCCCAAGUGGCUACUACAAAAGACUGGGCAUACCCCAUUUUGAAUACCAUGGGAUGUCUACUUUUUCAAAUGGUAUGGCAUGAUGGGGGUAAUUUUCAUUUCUUGGCUGCCAUACAUUCUCAAAGACAGCCUAGACACAGCAAACUAAUCUGACAAAUUUCAUUGUAAAAAAGCAUAAAUGGAUACGCCGUAUAUAUGACCCUGUAACUUUCCAAAACCCCAUAAAACCUAUACAUGGGGGGUACCGUGGCUCUCGAGAGACAUCACUGAACAGAACUAGGAGUGUUUCAGGGCAGUAAACUUUAUACUGACAAUAAUAUUAUCAGUAAGAGUACAGUUUUUAUGUGAAAAAUGCAAAAUAAAAAAGAAAAUGAACACUAACUUUGGCUAGGGUUUGUGCCCAAGUGGCUACUACAAAAGACUAGGCAUACCCCAUUUUGAAUACCCUGGGAUGUCUACUUUUUCAAAUGGUAUGCCAUGAUGGGGGUAAUUUUCAUUUCUUGGCUGCCAUGCGAUUUCAAAGGCAGCCUAGACACAGCAAACUAAUCUGACAAAUUUCAAUGUGAAAAAGCAAAAAUGGAUAAGCCGUAUAUAUGACCCUGUAACUUUCCAAAACCACAUUAAAACUAUACAUGGGGGUACCGUAGUGUUGGUGAGUCAUCACUGAACAGAACUAGGAGUGUUUUAGGGCAGUAAACUAUAUACUAACAAUAAUAUUAUCAGUGAAAUACAGUUUUUAUGUGAAAAAUGCAACAAAAAAACGAACACUAACUUUGGAUAGGGCUUGUGCCCAAGUGGCUACUACAAAAGACUGGGCAUACCCCAUUUUGAAUACCCUGGGAUGUCUACCUUUUCACAUGGUAUGCCAUGAUGGGGGUAAUUUUCAUUUCUUGGCGGCCAUACGGUCUCAAAGGCAACCUAGGUCCAGCAAACCAAUCUGUCAAAUUUCUAUGUAGAAAAAAAUAAUAAUGGACAAGCCGUAUAUUUGACCCUAAAACUUUCCAAAACCCCAUAAAACCUAUACAUGGGGAGUACUGUUUUACUUAUGAGACAUUUCUGAAUACAAAUAUGAAUGUUUUAUUGCAGGAAAACCGAACAGUAUUCUGACAUUAACAUUUAAAUUGCCAUUCAGAAAUUGAAAAAUAACAAAAUGUCCUAAUUUGUUAAAGUUUUUUUAGAUUGUAUUCAUAUAAAAUGGAGAUCCAUAUAUGAAUGUUUGAUAUGAAAUGAAUGCUCUGUUUCCCCUGAAUAAAUUGAUAUAUAAUAAGUGUGGGUGCACUUAGUAUGAAAGAGGUAAAUUAUUGUUGAACAGACAUAUAGUCGAAUUCUGUGGUUUGUUUACAUUUUGUUUUGCUCACAACUUGUACAUUUGUCUCAGUCCUUAACCCCUUAAGGACCAAACUUCUGGAAUAAAAGGGAAUCAUGACAUGUCACACAUGUCAUGUGUCCUUAAGGGGUUAAGGGGUUAAUUCUAUAAGAUUCACACACUCUGGGAUUGUGUCGCUGGAGCUAGGGCACCAGGUAAAUGAUAUGAUAAUAGCUUCCAAAGCAAUCAAAUACAAAAUGUAUCACUGUGAUAAGUUAUAUAUUUACUGUCUUGAGGUUGUUGCAUGUUAAAAUGAACCUGUCACAUUAAAAGAAUGUGGAUCAUCACAUGAACAAAAAGGUUGACACAAGUUACAGGUGUUGUGUUAUUUAAGAUUUUAUCCUGCAGUAGGUUCUUCUGCUGUCUAUCACAGUGCUACUACCCCGGUAAGUGUUUCUCCUGCUUGCAGUUGAGUAUUGGAUGUACUGAUGUGCUGACUGUGAAGCUAGUAUGUCAGGGAUAUUUGGCAGGAUUGAGCUGCGUGGGAAAGUAGCUAAACAGGGCCAAUCACAACAGAGAGGAGACAGGACCAGAAUACGAGUUUCACAAUAGUGUAAAACCCAUACACUGCUGGGAAUGACAGCACUAAGGCAAAGUAUAUAAUUAGAACAUUAGUAGAUCGAUGAGAGCUCCAAAAGCUAGUAUAUAUAUGUUUAUGACUCAUGAUGAAUUUACUGCCUUAACCUUUUAAGGACACAUGAUGGAAAUAAUCCGUCAUGAUUCCCCUUUUAUUUCUGAAGUUGUGUAUUUAAGGGGUUAAAGAGCUGUCAUGGUUCAAGGUGAUCAUGGCAUAACGGAUUCACUUUAACAUGUAGUGAUAAAUUGACUAAACAAAAAAAAACAAGUUAUUUUUUUAUGCCAAGCAAACCACACUGUCAAUUAUGAUGAGCAAGGCCACCCGAAACCUACAUGUGACUUGAUUUUGUAGGUACAAGGGUUUGAUAGAGUGAAAUAGGAUGUCUUUGCUAAGAUGUGUUUUGGUGUUUUCCUAAGGUUAUCUCUAUUAAACUGUCGCUAUAAGCUAUAUAGCUCUGGCCUUCUUAUUCAUAUACAUUAUAUGUAUGGUUAAUAUAAGAUCCUAUAUUUUUACCUGCAUUGUAUUCUGCGUUCUUUCAGUUCCGGGUCUGGCUCAGAAUAUCACAGUAAAUAAUAAGAAUACUACUAAUUCACUCAGUGUGAACUGGACAAUACCAGCAGGGAAAGUGGAUUAUUUCACAGUCACUCUGAAUGGAG